GAUGAACGCUGGCGGCGUGCCUAAUACAUGCAAGUCGAGCGAACGGACGAGAAGCUUGCUUCUCUGAUGUUAGCGGCGGACGGGUGAGUAACACGUGGAUAACCUACCUAUAAGACUGGGAUAACUUCGGGAAACCGGAGCUAAUACCGGAUAAUAUUUUGAACCGCAUGGUUCAAAAGUGAAAGACGGUCUUGCUGUCACUUAUAGAUGGAUCCGCGCUGCAUUAGCUAGUUGGUAAGGUAACGGCUUACCAAGGCAACGAUGCAUAGCCGACCUGAGUGGGUGAUCGGCCACACUGGAACUGAGACACGGUCCAGACUCCUACGGGAGGCAGCAGUAGGGAAUCUUCCGCAAUGGGCGAAAGCCUGACGGAGCAACGCCGCGUGAGUGAUGAAGGUCUUCGGAUCGUAAAACUCUGUUAUUAGGGAAGAACAUAUGUGUAAGUAACUGUGCACAUCUUGACGGUACCUAAUCAGAAAGCCACGGCUAACUACGU
rnacentral:rRNA from 1 species